GCAAGUAGAAGAUGGUGUUAAUCAUCUCAUCUGUUUACUUAUUUACUUUUGCUAAGGAAAUUCAUGUAAUCAGUAAGAGCCUAUGUUGCCUAACACAAGCCUUUUCUUGGGUUGCACCUCCCAAGAUGCUCAGCAUCGACUCACCAGGUCAGCCUUCUCUGGUUUUAGUCAAUGUAAACGGCCAACGCAUUUCUGAGAGCAUAAUUCCGACCCAUUGUGCCCUCACAGAGCCAGCACCCCCAGGAACCUACCACUCCCUGGGAAAGGAAUCUUGACCUUCAUUCUCUUCCUUGCAUUACUGCAAACAUUUGACAAAAGCCAGCCAAUACCUCAGGUUAGGACUAUCUGAUUCUCAGUGAGAAGGACUUAUUAUACCAUAAGAUGCUGUGAGGACAAAGUAUCAGAAGGAUUUGACUCAGGUAACCAAAGCCCUGCCAUCCUCAAGUUGCCUUUGCCAGAAUGACCAUCUGUGUCCCUUCAACCUCUUCAAGAACCUCUACUACAACAGAAGAAAACAGAUGUGGGACCAGACACUUUGGUGGGACUGUUCCAAUUUGACUAGCACAUUCCAGAUACUCCAAAGAGACAGAAGAUAAAAAGAUGUGGAGCGCCAAGAAUCAAGUUCUGGCAAUGGGAAGUUAGGAUUGGGGUUAGAUAUACCUGCUACUUUCUCUUAUUCUUUCAUCAAGCAGACGAUAUCAAUGAACUAAGCAUGUGCAUUGAUCAUAAAUAAGGAACUUCAAUUCAUCCUGCCUAAAGUGGUUGAUAAAAAGAGAAGAGAAAAACCU